rnacentral:misc_RNA from 1 species
GAUGAAGAACGCAGCGAAAUGCGAUACGUAAUGUGAAUUGCAGAUUUCAGUGAAUCAUCGAAUCUUUGAACGCACAUUGCGCCCGCCAGUAUUCUGGCGGGCAUGCCUGUUCGAGCGUCAUUUCAACCAUCAAGCCCCCGGCUUGUGUUGGGGACCUGCGGCUGCCGCAGGCCCUGAAAACCAGUGGCGGGCUCGCUAGUCACUCCGAGCGUAGUAAUACAUCUCGCUCAGGGCGUGCUGCGGGUUCCGGCCGUUAAAAAGCCUUAUUUACCCAAGGUUGACCUCGGAUCAGGUAGGAAGACCCGCUGAACUUAAGCAUAUCAAUAAGCGGAGGA